GUGGGGAAUCUUGCGCAAUGGGCGAAAGCCUGACGCAGCCAUGCCGCGUGGAUGAUGAAGGUCUUAGGAUUGUAAAAUCCUUUCACCGGUGAAGAUAAUGACUGUAGCCGGAGAAGAAGCCCCGGCUAACUUCGUGCCAGCAGCCGCGGUAAUACGAAGGGGGCUAGCGUUGCUCGGAUUUACUGGGCGUAAAGGGCGCGUAGGCGGACAUUUAAGUCAGGGGUGAAAUCCCGGGGCUCAACCUCGGAACUGCCUUUGAUACUGGGUGUCUUGAGUAUGAUAGAGGUGUGUGGAACUCCGAGUGUAGAGGUGAAAUUCGUAGAUAUUCGGAAGAACACCAGUGGCGACGGCGACACACUGGCUCAUUACUGACGCUGAGGCGCGAAAGCGUGGGGAGCAAACAGGAUUAGAAACCCCAGUAGUCC
rnacentral:rRNA from 1 species